rnacentral:rRNA from 1 species
UACGUAGGCGGCAAGCGUUAUCCGGAUUUACUGGGUGUAAAGGGCGCGUAGGCGGGGGUGCAAGUCAGGUGUGAAAUCUAUGGGCUUAACUCAUAAACUGCACUUGAAACUGUACCUCUUGAGUGCUGGAGAGGUAGACGGAAUUCCUUGUGUAGCGGUGAAAUGCGUAGAUAUAAGGAAGAACACCAGUGGCGAAGGCGGUUUACUGGACAGUAACUGACGCUGAGGCGCGAAAGCGUAGGGAGCAAAC